rnacentral:rRNA from 1 species
GACGAACCGUGCGAACGUUGUUCGGAAUCACUGGGCUUAAAGGGCGCGUAGGCGGGCCGGACGGUCCGGGGUGAAAUCCCCUCGCUCAACGGGGGAACGGCUCCGGAUACCGCCGGCCUCGAGGGGGUGGGGGCGAGCGGGAACGCUGGGUGGACGCGGUCGGAAAUGCGUUGAUAUCCAGCGGAACUCCGGUCGGCGAAGGCGGCUC